rnacentral:rRNA from 1 species
AUUGAACGCUGGCGGCAUGCUUUACACAUGCAAGUCGGACGGCAGCACAGAGAAGCUUGCUUCUUGGGUGGCGAGUGGCGAACGGGUGAGUAACAUAUCGGAACGUACCGAGUAAUGGGGGAUAACUAAUCGAAAGAUUAGCUAAUACCGCAUAUUCUCUGAGGAGGAAAGCAGGGGACCUUUUGGCCUUGCGUUAUUCGAGCGGCCGAUAUCUGAUUAGCUAGUUGGUGGGGUAAAGGCCUACCAAGGCGACGAUCAGUAGCGGGUCUGAGAGGAUGAUCCGCCACACUGGGACUGAGACACGGCCCAGACUCCUACGGGAGGCAGCAGUGGGGAAUUUUGGACAAUGGGCGCAAGCCUGAUCCAGCCAUGCCGCGUGUCUGAAGAAGGCCUUCGGGUUGUAAAGGACUUUUGUCAGGGAAGAAAAGGCUGUUGCUAAUAUCGACAGCUGAUGACGGUACCUGAAGAAUAAGCACCGGCUAACUACGUGCCAGCAGCCGCGGUAAUACGUAGGGUGCGAGCGUUAAUCGGAAUUACUGGGCGUAAAGCGAGCGCAGACGGUUACUUAAGCAGGAUGUGAAAUCCCCGGGCUCAACCUGGGAACUGCGUUCUGAACUGGGUGACUAGAGUGUGUCAGAGGGAGGUAGAAUUCCCCGUGUAGCAGUGACAUGCGCAGAGAUGUGGAGGAAUACCGAUGGCGAUGGCCGCCUUCUGGGAUACCCGCGACGUUCAUGCGCGCAAGCGCGCGAGCACGAAGAAUCUACAUACCCGGGUAAUCCACGGCGAUAUUCUCACGUGGAAAUCCCAUUCAUCCGUCCCGUCGCCUAAAACGACAAUACACUGCUACUCUUUUUUUUUUUGCUUAUCUGAGGUUUACUUCC